UGCCCGAAAACUUGCGCCGGUAACGGGAAUGCAGUGCGGGCCCUCGCGGCCUUAUUCUGCGGCUAUCCCUGUAACUGUAAGCGGCGAGUUCGGCGUGCUGGCGGCCCUAUCGGAGCCGCAGCCACUGGGAGUGAUCCCGGGAAGGCGCAUGCCGGGCGGUGACCCGUGAGCCAGGAGACCGACCGACGCAUGUCGCUCUUG
rnacentral:ncRNA from 1 species